CCUACGGGAGGCAGCAGUGAGGAAUAUUGGUCAAUGGGCGCGAGCCUGAACCAGCCAAGUCGCGUGAAGGAUUACUGCCCUACGGGUUGUAAACUUCUUUUAUAAAGGAGUAAAGUGAGGCACGAGUGCCUUUUUGUAUGGACUUUAGGAAUAAGGAUAGGCCCAAUCCGUGCCAGCAGCCGCGGUCAUACGGAGGAUCAGGGCGUUAUCCGGGUUUAUUGGGGUUAAAAGGAGCGUAGAGGGGUUGUUAAGGCAGUUGUGAAAGUUUGCGGCUCAAACGCCAAAUUGCAAUUGAUACUGGCAGCCUUGAGUACGGUAGAGGUAGGCGGAAUUCGUGGUGUAGCGGUGAAAUGCAUAGAGAUCACGAAGAACUCCGAUUGCGAAGGCAGCCUUCUAGACUGCCACUGACAUUGAUGCUCGAAAGUGUGGGGAUCGAACAGGAUUAGAUACCCGAGUAGUC
rnacentral:rRNA from 1 species